UACAGAGGGGGCAAGCGUUGUUCGGAAUUACUGGGCGUAAAGGGCGCGUAGGCGGCCUUCUAAGUCGAACGUGAAAUCCCCGGGCUCAACCCGGGAACUGCGUCCGAUACUGGAAGGCUUGAAUCCGGGAGAGGGAUGCGGAAUUCCAGGUGUAGCGGUGAAAUGCGCAGAUAUCAGGAAGAACACCAAUGGCGAAAGCAGCUCUCUGGGACGGUACUGACGCUGAGACGCGAAAGCGUGGGGAGCGAACAGG
rnacentral:rRNA from 1 species